rnacentral:Y_RNA from 1 species
GGCUGGUUUGAAGGUGGUUGUGACUCCUCUCCAUUGAUUUUUCAUAGUUACAGAUCGAACUCCUUGUUCUGCUCUUUCCCUUCUUAUCAGUGCUACAGUUGACUAGUUUAAA